rnacentral:rRNA from 1 species
UACGGAGGGGCGAGCGUUGUCCGAAGUUACUGGGCGUAAAGCGCGCGUAGGCGGGUUGGCAAGUCCGCCUGUGAAAGCCCGGUGCUUAACGCCGGAGGGUCGGUGGAUACUGCCAGUCUUGAAGGUGCUAGGGGAAGAUGGAAUUACCAGUGUAGCGGUGAAAUGCGUAGGAUAUUGGUAGGAACACCAGUGGCGAAGGCGCCCGCUGGGCAGUGGCUGACGCUGAGGCGCGACAGCGUGGGGAGCAAACAGG